GGUCCUGUGGUGUAGUAGUUAUCACGUCUGCUUCACACGCAAAAGGUCGCCGGUUCGAACCCGACCACGACCU
rnacentral:tRNA from 1 species